GCUCUUGUGGUGGAAUAGGAAGACACGAUAGCCUCAAAAGCUAUUGAUAUGUAAAGUAUCGUCUCAGUUCAAAUCUGAGUAAGAGCA
rnacentral:tRNA from 1 species